rnacentral:rRNA from 1 species
GACGAACGCUGGCGGCGUGCCUAAUACAUGCAAGUUGAGCGCUGAAGGUUGGUACUUGUACCGACUGGAUGAGCAGCGAACGGGUGAGUAACGCGUGGGGAAUCUGCCUUUGAGCGGGGGACAACAUUUGGAAACGAAUGCUAAUACCGCAUAAAAACUUUAAACACAAGUUUUAAGUUUGAAAGAUGCAAUUGCAUCACUCAAAGAUGAUCCCGCGUUGUAUUAGCUAGUUGGUGAGGUAAAGGCUCACCAAGGCGAUGAUACAUAGCCGACCUGAGAGGGUGAUCGGCCACAUUGGGAAUGAGACACGGCCCAAACUCCUACGGGAGGCAGCAGUAGGGAAUCUUCGGCAAUGGACGAAAGUCUGACCGAGCAACGCCGCGUGAGUGAAGAAGGGUUUCGGAUCGUAAAACUCUGUUGGUAGAGAAGAACGUUGGUGAGAGUGGAAAGCUCAUCAAGUGACGGUAACUACCCAGAAAGGGACGGCUAACUACGUG